rnacentral:misc_RNA from 1 species
AAUUUGCUCAUUUCAUCAGAAGUAAACGCACGCUUGAUUUUCCGAUACUGUAUACAUUACAAACAUGUCUGACGACAAAAAGAAUCAACCUGGUGUAUUGGAAAAUGUUUCGGAGAAACUUCAGGAAGUUGGUCAUACCGUGAAAGAAAAGCUAGAUUCUGCAGGAAAUGUGAUUACGGAGAAAUGGAACGAACAUAUGGUAAGAUAAUUAUUUGUUAUAUACAUGUAUUCUCUUUCACCCAAUUGAAUGAAUUUUAUCCAUUGUAAUGAAUAAGUUCUUAUUUUCUUUCCUUUCUAUCACACCUCUGUUUAUAUUUACUUUCAGCAUCCGGAAGAAAAAUCAAAGACUGAAGGUAAGGUCACAUAAUUAUGAAAUUUAAAAGUAGACAUUAAAUUAUGAGCACAUUUUCAAAAGACAUCCUUAUAACGUAAAAUAAAAAAAAAACUUUAAAAAAAAUUGUUUACUUGGUUUAGAAAUUAAGGAAACAGUAAAAGAAAAAUUUGACGACGCUGGGAACAAAAUCUCUGAGGAAUGGAACAAAAGAGUGCACCCUGAGGAGGAAAAGAAAUCCACUGUAGAUGAGGUCAAAGACACAGUCAAGGAGAAAGUAGAGGUUGCAAAGGAGAAGGUUUCAGACGUAGUGGGAUCAAAUGAAAAGAAGUAGAAGAGAAGGAACGCACAGAAGAGGAUUUGCCACAGUUAGUUCUUCAAGAAAGAAGUCUACAAUCAGGGACACUAUUUGCUUUCUGUUUUUUAGGAAGUAAAAAUUCUCAUUUUUUCCCGUGAUAUUUCUCUACAUCCGGUUCUUUGUGUGUCUGUUGUUGUAUCUUAGAUAUUGCGUGAAUGUGAAUUAAGUUACAUCUAUAGAUACGCUUUAUGUUAUUGAAAGUAUACUUGCUAUUGUAUAAGAAUACAAAUGAUGAAUAAAGACAUUGAAGUC